GGUUAAAUGAAAAUGACUCGCGCGGAUGUCGCAUCCACUGCAUACGUAUCUCAUCUGAAUAUGAGAAUCAGAGUCUUCGUAGCUCGGUUGACCUAUGGGUUGGGGGGAUGUGUGCUCGCUAAGACAUCGCGUCUUAUGCCUACGUAUCUCAUCUGGAAUGAGAAUCAGAGCAAGCCGUAGUUCGGCUAACUACGGGGUUAUGGAUUGGGUUUUGGACGAACGACGUUACUACGCAAUCUACCGGAUGCUCGACCUUUGGAGACUUACUCACCUGUAGUAGAAGGAGUAAACGUGUGUUUAGGAGAAGAAAAAUCAAUGAAGGGUUAGGGUUUGG
rnacentral:lncRNA from 1 species